UCUGAACUCUACUCGUGUGAUCUCCUCCACAUCACUUCCUUGAUCAUCAUCUGCUUCUUGUCGUGGCUGUUGAUGGAGCUGUGGUUUGAUUCCGUUUGCUGGGAGUCCGCAAAACAGAAAAGAACAGUAAAGGGACACAACAUAGACAUAGCGGCUACACAAAACCAAGCUCUGGAUCGAGAUCUAACCUGUAACUAAGAGAUUUGCAAGACCUGCAAAUUUUUUUUUUUUUAAAUAGAAGGAUGGAUGCAAUUUGUUAAACGACAUAGAAGUUUAGAUUCUCUCAUAAACGACAUAGAAAUUUAGAUUGUCUCAUACAAAAGAUCAAAUCUGAAAGAAGACAGCUUUGAAAGAUUCAAUAUUUAAACCAUAUAUUUCAGAACAAGAUCCAAAAAGAACAAACUUUCAUAAGAAAAUGAAAAAUGUCUUCUUACAGUUCUUUUUCCAGAUACAGCAGAAAACGACUAGACAAUCUAAAAGGAUAAAACUUUGCCUUUCCUUUGCAACCAUAUAUCAAAAGCUGAAAGCCCUUCUUCAAUGUAAUCAAUGCCUG